GGCAAUUUUAGGAUUUGGAUGUCUUAUACUUUAACAGGUGUUAUUUUUUUCUGCUACUGAAGCUAAGCUUAGCAGUUUAGCAACAGUCGAACUGCUUUGCUGCGCUGUUAAUUUCGGACUUUCACAAUACCCAGGUGUUAAUAGCAUAUUCCCAUCCUCAAUACAUUUUGAAAAGACAAAAAUACUACCGCCCGAACAGGGACUUGAACCCUGGACCCUCAGAUUAAAAGUCUGAUGCUCUACCGACUGAGCUAUCCGGGCUCUGACACAUCCACCGGAAGUGCUCUAUUUAAACUGACGGAAAGACUACUGUCAGACCCGUGUCGAGACACAGUACCGGCAAGUCAAUACAUCCUGACCGAGAUUUUAAGAAACAUUUUAAUUAACAAAUUGAUCAUGACCGCAUUUUCUGACCACAACCUUGUGUCACAACACGGAAAUUCUACGGAGCGGCAGAUCAGAGAGCUGCAACAUGCCAUCCAAGAAAACAAUCGUAAACUGGUGGAGGUCCAGCAGAAAAGACUGCGUGCCGAGGAAGAGAUCAUUCAAUGUAACAGAGAAACUAAGCAGAGAGUGGUUUUGAUGAUCGAAAAAGGUGAAGUUGUUGAUGCGUUGUUGCAACUGGGUCAUCUGCUGCAAGAGGAAAAGCGACUUUCUGAACAACUGAAUGGUCAAGCCUCUGCAGACAGAAAUCAAAGGGAUGAUUUGCAGGAAAUAAGUGAAUGCAUCACAAACAAGGCGAGAAGCCUUGCUGCUGAAAUUCUGGAGGUGAAUGAUCAUCUGGCAGAGGCACAUGCUCGUAAUAUGGCUGCACAAGCUUUGAUUCAUGCACCAACUGGCACAUCAAAGAGAACCAAAGCAAACCCAAGUGAAUCAAAAAUAUAACAUUUGUAUUGUAGAUUACAGGCACAUUUCUUUUAAAUUGCAUUUGAUAUUCCUAAUUAAUUGUGUAUAUAUGUUGUUGCACCUAAUAACAUUUUUUACUUGAUCUAGUCUCGGAAGGAUUUCUCUUUAAUAUAGACUGCAUGUACUUUUUAUGUAACACUUGUUAUGUGAUUGUUUAGAUAUUUGAGACAUUAAAGAAACACUUUGCAACAUUUUUUAUUUUCCCUGCAGAAUUUCCAUUUUUCCUUGCCUUAAAUAUUAAUGAGUAGGCCUGUGUUGGAGUUGUUUUCGGACAUAUUGAUUUGAAGAGUGUAAAAUGUCUACCCUCACGAAUACAGACCUCAGUACAGUAGUAGAAUAUGUCAAAAAUUAAAAAGACCUACAUAAAGGUUAGUUAAAAAUACAAAGUGAGUGUUGGCCAGGGAUGUAUCAGAAAACUCCCCAUUUAUUUCAGAUAAAGGCUACAGUUAAAAAAAAUGUUUUAAUAGAUUGAUACGGUAUAUACAAACAUGCAAGCCUGUACAUGCAUAUACACUUCUAUAGAUGGUGCUUUCCUGCAUGAACAUAAAAAUUGUUAGGACUUGGAAAUAAACAACCACCUUCCUCCAUGAGACAAAACUCAAACAAUAAAUAAAAAGUCUAACGCCAUCACAGCUGGUGCAACAAGCAUUACAAUGCCUGACACUUCUAAUAGAACCAACGGCUUUGCAGUAACUUGAAGUAAAAGCACUUUUUAGGCUGUAUUGUAACUAGUAGUGAUGCAUUAAUGUGUAAACCUCA
rnacentral:tRNA from 1 species